CGCGUGGGUAAUCUACCUUCGAAUUGGGGAUAACGUUGCGAAAGCGACGCUAAUACCGAAUAACAUCCAUUAAUCUUCGGGUUUUUGGAUCAAGGGUGGCCUCUACAUGUAAGCUACUGUUUGAAGAUGAGCCCGCGUACCAUUAGCUUGUUGGUGGGGUAAAGGCCUACCAAGGCAACGAUGGUUAGCUGGUCUGAGAGGAUGAUCAGCCACACUGGAACUGACACACGGUCCAG
rnacentral:rRNA from 1 species